AACUCAUCAUAAAAUCGUCCUUGAGUAAACGCCCAAACCACAAAAUGCUGAAACUGACUUUGAUUUGUCCGGCGUUCUAGUCCAAACCCCUGGCGACUAGAAGUCGCUGAUUCACAUCUUCGAUCAAUUAAUUGAGAAAUAACUUCAAAAACAAACGCUACAAUCCAAGGCCCCCAAGGUCGAACUUUAAGAGAACUCGAUUUUUGCUUUCUUUUCCAAUGCCACAUAAACAACAUAUAGAUAAGCGGACGACAAACUUUAAUAAAAUUAGAAAAAAUCCGUAGAUUGGGAAGUCUUUUUGUAAAAAUCUCAUCUGGUAGAAUUGAAGAAAGACGUGGAGUUCGGUUU